rnacentral:rRNA from 1 species
UACGGGGGGGGCAAGCGUUGUUCGGAAUUACUGGGCGUAAAGGGUUUGUAGGUGGCUUGUUAAGUCUGACGUGAAAUCCCUCAGCUUAACUGGGGAACUGCGUCUGAUACUGGCGAGCUUGAGUGCAGGAGAGGAACGCGGAAUUCCAGGUGUAGCGGUGAAAUGCGUAGAUAUCUGGAGGAACACCGGUGGCGAAGGCGGCGUUCUGGACUGCAACUGACACUGAGAAACGAAAGCCAGGGUAGCAAACGGG